GAGAUAGAGCUUCCCCUUCGGGGGCAAAGUGACAGGUGGUGCAUGGUUGUCGUCAGCUCGUGUCGUGAGAUGUUGGGUUAAGUCCCGCAACGAGCGCAACCCUUAUUGUUAGUUGCCAUCAUUCAGUUGGGCACUCUAGCAAGACUGCCGGUGACAAACCGGAGGAAGGUGGGGAUGACGUCAAAUCAUCAUGCCCCUUAUGACCUGGGCUACACACGUGCUACAAUGGGAAGUACAACGAGUCGCGAAGUCGCGAGGCUAAGCUAAUCUCUUAAAGCUUCUCUCAGUUCGGAUUGUAGGCUGCAACUCGCCUACAUGAAGCCGGAAUCGCUAGUAAUCGCGGAUCAGCACGCCGCGGUGAAUACGUUCCCGGGCCUUGUACACACCGCCCGUCACACCACGA
rnacentral:rRNA from 1 species